GGACUACAAGGGUUUCUAAUCCUGUUUGCUCCCCACGCUUUCGUGCAUGAGUGUCAGUGUUAACCCAGGGGGCUGCCUUCGCCAUUGGUAUUCCUCCACAUCUCUACGCAUUUCACUGCUACACGUGGAAUUCUACCCCCCUCUGCCACACUCUAGCCAUGCAGUCCUCAAUGCAGUUCCCAGGUUGAGCCCGGGGAUUUCACAUCAAGCUUACAUAACCACCUGCGCACGCUUUACGCCCAGUAAUUCCGAUUAACGCUUGCACCCUACGUAUUACCGCGGCUGCUGGCAC
rnacentral:rRNA from 2 species